rnacentral:tRNA from 1 species
UCCCUGUUGGCUCAGAUGGUAAAGCAUCUGCCUACAAUGCGGGAGACUCGGGUUCAAUGCCUGGAUUGGGAA